rnacentral:rRNA from 1 species
UUGCCUUAGUAACGGCGAGUGAAGCGGCAACAGCUCAAAUUUGAAAUCUGGCUUCGGCCCGAGUUGUAAUUUGCAGAGGAUGUUUAUGGUGCGGUACCUUCCGAGUUCCCUGGAACGGGACGCCACAGAGGGUGAGAGCCCCGUCUGGUUGGAUACCAAACCUGUGUUAAACUCCUUCAACGAGUCGAGUAGUUUGGGAAUGCUGCUCUAAAUGGGAGGUAAAUCUCUUCUAAAGCUAAAUACCGGCCAGAGACCGAUAGCGCACAAGUAGAGUGAUCGAAAGAUGAAAAGCACCUUGAAAAGGGGGUUAAACAGUACGUGAAAUUGUUGAAAGGGAAGCGAUUAUGACCAGACUUGUGCCGUGUGGCUCAUCCGAGGUUCUCCCCGGUGCACUCCACACGGUUCAGGCCAACAUCGGUUUUCGUCGGGGGAUAAGAAUAGUAGGAACGUAGCUUUCUUCGGAGAGUGUUAUAGCCUAUUAUACGAUACCCUGACGGGGACCGAGGACCGCGCUUCGGCUAGGAUGUUGGCGUAAUGGUCAUUACCGACCCG